UUAUUAGGAAUCUCCUUCUGUUGGGAUGU
rnacentral:piRNA from 1 species